CCUACGGGGGGCAGCAGUGGGGGAUAUUGCACAAUGGGGGGAACCCUGAUGCAGCGACGCCGCGUGGGUGAAGAAGCGCCUCGGCGCGUAAAGCCCUGUCAGCAGGGAAGAAAAUGACGGUACCUGAAGAAGAAGCCCCGGCUAAAUACGUGCCAGCAGCCGCGGGAAUACGUAGGGGGCAAGCGUUAUCCGGAUUGACUGGGGGUAAAGGGGGCGCAGACGGCGAUGCAAGCCAGGAGUGAAAGCCCGGGGCCCAACCCCGGGACUACUCGUGGAACUGCGUGGCUGGAGUGCAGGAGGGGCAGGCGGAAUUCCUGGUGUAGCGGUGAAAUGCGUAGAUAUCAGGAGGAACACCGGUGGCGAAGGCGGCCUGCUGGACUGCAACUGACGUUGAGGCCCGAAAGCGUGGGGAGCAAACAGGAUUAGAUACCCCUGUAGUC
rnacentral:rRNA from 1 species